rnacentral:rRNA from 1 species
UGGGGGAUAUUGCGCAAUGGGGGAAACCCUGACGCAGCAAUGCCGCGUGAAGGAAGAAGGUCUUCGGAUUGUAAACUUUUGUCCUCGAGGACGAUAAUGACGGUACUCGAGAAGGAAGCUCCGGCUAACUACGUGCCAGCAGCCGCGGUAAUACGUAGGGAGCAAGCGUUGUCCGGAAUUACUGGGUGUAAAGGGUGCGUAGGCGGAUUGGCAAGUCAGAUGUGAAAUACUACAGCUUAACUGUGGGGCUGCAUUUGAAACUGCCGACCUUGAGUGAAGGAGAGGUAAGUGGAAUUCCCAGUGUAGCGGUGAAAUGCGUAGAUAUUGGGAGGAACACCAGUGGCGAAGGCGACUUACUGGACUUUAACUGACGCUGAGGCACGAAAGUGUGGGUAGCAAACA